rnacentral:rRNA from 1 species
UACUCCUACGGGAGGCAGCAGUAGGGAAUCUUCCACAAUGGGCGAAAGCCUGAUGGAGCAACGCCGCGUGUGUGAUGAAGGGUUUCGGCUCGUAAAACACUGUUGUAAGAGAAGAAUGACAUUGAGAGUAACUGUUCAAUGUGUGACGGUAUCUUACCAGAAAGGAACGGCUAAAUACGUGCCAGCAGCCGCGGUAAUUG